AUUCACACUUUGGGAAUGCUUUGUGUGCAAGCCAUACCAUUAGAGGAGCAAUCGCUCCACCCACAAAAAACCAGUUGACACCUGAGUAGGCACCGAGGUCUCCAAAGAUUCUGCGAGGCCCAACCAAACCCCAGAUGACUGAGGCAUCAUAAAACACACGGUCCAUUGGGCAAGUCCAUGGACUGUCAUGUGGGAGUAAGGAUGUGUCACAAAGGUUGGGGAUCACUUCCAUCAGCUCCCAAGCAGUUAUUUGGUAUAUGAAUACUGCUAUAAGAGAACCUAAAACCUGAAAUAAGAUUUUAGUUUAGCUUCCAGUCUUACCAGUUUCAUUGUUUGCCUUCAUAUAUAGAGAUAUAUACCACAACCCUGAUACAGAGAGAAUAAAACUAACCUGUGCCAUGAACAUUGUUCUUGGCGGGAUCUUCAUGUAGUGGCCUAGCUUGAAGUCUGCUAGAAAGCUUAGGGCCUGGGUCAUGCUUAUGUACCCAAAAACUUUGAAGCACAUGUUGGCAACGGGGCGCUCGGGGUACAUAUACCCAAUUAUGUAUUCUGUGAUGAUGUUCAAACCUGGUUGCUGCUCACCAGCAAGAGAUUGAUUUAAAAAAAGUUCUAAACAUCCAUUUCAGAAGGCAUUUAUUGAUGAUACCAAUUGGGAGGGUGAAGAAAAGGGCAAUGCCACAAGCAAGCAAGACCCCCCACCAAGGCAAUUGAAGCGUGUCGUUGUAAUACUGGCAAGCAAAUAAAAUGGCAGCAAUGUUCAACACUAGGAUGAGGAGAAACCACCACAUGGGUACUUGCUUGUACUUCUGCAUAAGCCUCGUGUGUACAUCCACCUUCUUAGUCGAUCCAAAUGCCCUCUUUGUUUGCUUCCAUAUAUCCCUGAGUGUGCAUUAGUGCACAUGUCAGUGAGUUAAUGAAAUUGAUUUCCAUUAAAAAGUUCAUAUAAUCUAUCUAUUCUCUAGAGGCUGAAGAUAUGAAAAGGUGGACUUACUUUCCGUUGAAGAGUAUGACAUGAACAACAGUAGCAGAAAGCGUUGCAAAUCCAAGACCAUAAGUCAUAGCGAAAAAGGUGCUGAGAUUUAUGGGCCCAUUUUUCGCAUAAGAAGCCUCAUCCAGAUGAAAAUCAGAAUUGAUGAUGCUCAAGAUGUUGUAUUCUGAUCCGUUUGACAUGAAAAGGUUGUUGGAAAAUAUUGGGAAGUUCUUGGCAUUAUAGACAUUUUUCCAAUAAGUGAGGGGCGUCAUCACAUACAUGACGAAGAUGAAUCCAACAGUGACAUUGGCAGUGGCAAACAAGGGGCUAGCUAACGGACUCCCGAGAUAAGAUGAAAUCGUAGACCAGUCUAUCCCCAAGCUGCCAAUUCCAAGGCCUUGUAGGCCUGAUCCUAGUUGUUGCACAAAUAUGGAUUUCGGAGCAAGCCAACAAACCCACGAGAAAGACGUUAACAUGAGAAAGAGAUAGCCAGGAAGUACAUAGUAGCAGAAGCUGCAGAUGAAGACUAUGACAAAGAACUGCGUCCGGGUUGUGCUGCCUUUCGGUCUCUUCUCUUUCUCAUGUAGAGCCCUGCAGCCAUUAUUUUUCUUUUUUCUCAGUAUGCUUGAUCAUGUAGAAAGCCGAACGAAACCAUAAAUUUUUUGGCGAAAAAUUAGCAUAACAAAAUGCAUACCUGAACAAUGAGACCUGAACCAGAUUAGACGGCCACCACAUUUCUGCGGGUUCAACCAGAUGUUUCCGGAAAAGCCCUGCCCAGCCAAAUCCCAAAAUCUGUAGUUCAUACAAGAAAGGAAACCAAAAGAAUACUUUU